UACGUAGGGUGCAAGCGUUAUCCGGAAUUAUUGGGCGUAAAGAGCUCGUAGGCGGUUUGUCGCGUCUGCUGUGAAAACCCGAGGCUCAACCUCGGGCCUGCAGUGGGUACGGGCAGACUAGAGUGCGGUAGGGGAGAUUGGAAUUCCUGGUGUAGCGGUGGAAUGCGCAGAUAUCAGGAGGAACACCGAUGGCGAAGGCAGAUCUCUGGGCCGUAACUGACGCUGAGGAGCGAAAGCAUGGGGGGCGAACAGG
rnacentral:rRNA from 1 species